CCACCGUCUGUAGCUAUGCACCGUCGACCCCACAGAUGAGCUCCAACAGCGGCUUCACGGUCAUGUACUCAUCAUCCAUUUACCUUUGUUUUGGUUGUGAGCUUGAUCUUGCAUCUACUGCCCAAUUGAUUUUCAGAUUUACAAGGAGCAGUUCCAUCAUAUCACUGAUGAGAUUAUUCUGUUUGGAUUAGGAAUUC